rnacentral:rRNA from 1 species
CCUACGGGUGGCAGCAGUAGGGAAUUUUCGUCAAUGGGCGCAAGCCUGAACGAGCGAUGCCGCGUGAGUGAAGAAGGCCUUCUGGUCGUAAAGCUCUGUUUCUGGGGAAAAAAGGCAGCAUCAGGAAAUGGGUUCUUACUGAUGGUGCCCCGCCAGAAAGUCACGGCUAACUACGUGCCAGCAGCCGCGGUAAUACGUAGGUGGCGAGCGUUAUCCGGAGUGAUUGGGCGUAAAGGGUGCGGAGGCGGUCCUGCAAGUCUGGAGUGAAACGCAUGAGCUCAACUCAUGAAGGGCUGUGGAGACUGGAGGACUGGAGAGCAGGAGAGGGCGGUGGAAGUCCAGGUGUAGCGGUAAAAUGCGUAGAUAUAUGGAAGAACACCAGUGGCGAAGGCGGCCGCCUGGACUGUAGCUGACGCUGAGGCACGAAAGCGUGGGGAGCAAAUAGGAUUAGAUACCCUUGUAGUC